rnacentral:lncRNA from 1 species
GGAAAUUAUAGCUGCCUCAGAUAACCAUGCUUUCAUUUUCCUUGAAGUAAGAACCUACCCAGAAAUCUUGUCUCUCCCUUGGAGCAAUGAAGCUAACAGGAACAGUUCUGUUUCACAAAUGGCAGAUGUGAUGAGAAGCAUUGCCGACUUACAUCCUUGCAGCUCAUUCUGAAUGGUCUGAUAAUUCCCUGUUUGUUUUCAGCAAUCAAAAUAUAGAAGGGGACAUUUUCUGACUUCCUGCCAAGGGAUUUGCUCUAAAUUGUGCCUUUUAAAUAAAAUAUCCCACACUAAAUCAUGUACA